rnacentral:rRNA from 1 species
ACUCAAAUGAAUAGACGGGGGAGCGCACAACCGGUGGAGCAUGUGGUUUAAUUCGAUAUGAAGCGAAAGACCUUACCUAGGUUUGACAUCCAGCUGCACGUCCUUGGAAACAGGGACUUCUUCGAGAGUGCUGGACAGGUGAUGCAUGGCUGUCGUCAGCUCGUGUCGUGAGACGUCCGCUUAAGUGCGGUAACGAGCGCAACCCUUAUCGCCAGUUACAAGUGUCUGGCGAGACUGCCCCGGUUUCACAUCGGGGAGGAAGGAGAGGAUGACGUCAAGUCAGCACGUCCCUUACAUCUAGGGCCACACACAUCCUACAAUGGAGCCGACAACGGGUCGCGACGGGGUAACCCUGAGCCAAUCCUAAUAAACGGCUCCUCAGUUCAGAUUGAGGGCUGCAAUUCGCCCUCAUGAAGUCGGAAUCGGUAGUAAUCGCAAAUCAUCAGGUUGCGGUGAAUACGUUCUCGCUCCUUGUACACACCGCCCGU